rnacentral:rRNA from 1 species
AAUAUUGCACAAUGGAGGAAACUCUGAUGCAGCGACGCCGCGUGAGCGAUGAAGGCUUUCGAGUCGUAAAGCUCUGUCCUAGGGGACGAUAAUGACGGUACCCUAGGAGGAAGCCCCGGGUUACCACGUGCCAGCAGCCGCGGUAAUACGUAGGGGGCGAGCGUUGUCCGGAAUUAUUGGGCGUAAAGGGUUCGCAGGCUGUCUUUUAAGUCAGAUGUGAAAGCCCACGGCUUAACCGUGGUGAGCAUUUGAAACUGGAAGGCUUGAGUUAAGGAGAGGAAAGUGGAAUUCCUAGUGUAGCGGUGAAAUGCGUAGAUAUUAGGAGGAAUACCAGUGGCGAAGGCGACUUUCUGGACUUAUACUGACGCUGAGGUGCGAAAGCGUGGGGAGCAAACA